GAUGAACGCUGGCGGCGUGCCUAACACAUGCAAGUCGAACGAACGGGCGAGAAGCUUGCUUUUCUGGUGUUAGGGGCGGGCGGGUGAGUAACACGAGGAUAACCUACCUAUAAGGCUGGGAUAACUUCGGGAAGACGGAUCUAACACCGGAUAAUAUUUUGAACCCCAUGGGUCGAAAGUGAAAGAGGGAUUUGCUGUCACUUAGACAUGGUUCCGCGUUGCAUUAGCUAGUUGGUAAGGUAACGGCUUACCAAGGCUACGAUGCAUAGCCGACCUGAGAGGGUGAUCGGCCACACUGGAACUGAGACACGGUCCAGACUCCUACGGGAGGCAGCAGUAGGGAAUCUUCCGCAAAGGGCGAAAGCCUGACAGAGCAACGCCGCGUGAGUGAUGAAGGUCUUCGGAUCGUAAAACGCUGUUAUUAGGGAAGAACAUAUGUGCAAUUAACUGUGCAGAUCAUGACGGUACCUAACCAGAAAGCAACGGCUAACUACGUG
rnacentral:rRNA from 1 species